UCGUGGGUGACUUGUCUGCUUAAUUGCGAUAACGAGCGAGACCUUACUCUGCUAAAUAGCCCGGCUAGCUUUGGCUGGUCGCCGGCUUCUUAGAGAGACUAUCAACUCAAGUUGAUGGAAGUUUGAGGCAAUAACA
rnacentral:rRNA from 1 species